rnacentral:RNase_P_RNA from 1 species
CGAGUCCGCCGGACGGUCGCUGUGGGUUCCUUGGAACCCGUAGAGGAAAGUCCGGACUCCACAGGGUGCGGUGCUGGAUAACGUCCAGGCGGUGCGAACCGACGGAAAGUGCCACAGAGAACAGACGGCCGAUGGGACGAACCGGUUGCGAGACUGUUUCGUGCGGGGUUUCGAUCCCGCAGUGGUGUGAUGAGCAUCACUUCACAGGCAAAGGUGAAACGGUGGUGUAAGAGACCACCAGCGGGCCGGGCGACCGGCCCGGAUCGGCAAACCCCACCGGGAGCAAGGCCAAGCAGGGAGCGGGUGACCCGCCCUAUCUCCCAGGUAGGCCGCAACGAGGUAGACGGAGACGUUUACCCCAGAUAGAUGACCGUCGCCGAUCUUCGGAUCGGCACAGAAUCCGGCUUAUAGGCGGACUCGCGGG